GGGGAUUUAGCUCAGUGGCAAUAGCACCUGCCUGGCAAGCAUGAGGUCAUGAGUUCAAUCCCUG
rnacentral:tRNA from 1 species